GUAUUUGCACCACAUUUGGGCGUAUAUCCCUCCAACCAUCCUAAAUAACUGGGCAAUAAAAAAAAGCCCUUUCUACACUUCCCCAAUUAUUUAGCAGUGAGGAAUAUUGGUCAAUAGCCGCAAGGCUGAACCAGCAACUUGGAGGAAUCAAUGGCAAUAGCCAAUGCAUUAAUAUGAUGCAAUAUCGAAGUCGAAUAAAAUUCUGGGUAGACUAUGAUAAUGACAUUAUCUAUCUAGAUGUCUUGACCAAAAUACGUGCCAGCAGUCGCGGUAAGACGUUAAAGACGAGUGUUAUUCAUGUUUAAUCGGUUUAAAGAGUCCCAAGACUGUUAAUAAAGCCUACUGGGGACACAUUAACUAGAGUUAUAUGAAAGGGGGCUGUGAGGUACUGUCGGGUGGAGAGAUAAAAUUCCAUUAUACAGAUGAUGGCACCAACAAAUGCGAAGGCAUCCUCUUAUGUAAUAACUGACGUUUUCAGACGAAGGCUUAGGGAAGAAAAAUGGAUUAGAUACCCUCGUAUUCUAAGCAGAAAAUGAUGAAUGUCAUAGGUUGAAGAUAAAUAAUAUUUAUUUUGGUCUAUAAAUGAAAGUGUAAGCAUUCCACCUCAAGAGUAAUUUGGCAACAUUGGAACUGAAAUCAUCAGGCCGUUUUUGAAACCAGUAGUGAAGUAUGUUGUUUAAUUUGAUAACCCGCACAAAACCUUACCACUAUUUGCAUAAAUAUUUAUGUAUAUAUUUACAAGUGUUGCACGGCUGUCUUCAGUUGAUGUCGUGAGGCUAGGUUACUCCUAACAAUCAACGCAAACCCUUACUUUAUUUUUAUAUAAAGUUGUUCACCUCUCAUGGGAGAUGCUAAUAGGGACUAGGACAAGUCAUCAUGACCAGAAUAUAGUGGGCUAUAGACGUGGCCACAU
rnacentral:rRNA from 1 species